UACGGGGGGGGCAAGCGUUGUUCGGAAUUACUGGGCGUAAAGGGCUCGUAGGCGGCCAACUAAGUCGGAUGUGAAAUCCCCAGGCUUAACCUGGGAACUGCAUCCGAUACUGGAUGGCUUGAAUCCGGGAGAGGGAUGCAGAAUUCCAGGUGUAGCGGUGAAAUGCGUAGAUAUCAGGAGGAACACCGGUGGCGAAGGGGGGUCUCUGGGCCGAUACUGACGCUGAGGAGCGAAAGCGUGGGGAGCGAACAGG
rnacentral:rRNA from 1 species